rnacentral:rRNA from 1 species
UCCAACCUGCCCACCACUUGGGGAUAACCUUGCGAAAGUAAGACUAAUACCCAAUGACGUCUCUAGAAGACAUCUGAAAGGGAUUAAAGAUUUAUCGGUGAUGGAUGGGGAUGCGUCUGAUUAGCUUGUUGGCGGGGUAACGGCCCACCAAGGCGACGAUCAGUAGGGGUUCUGAGAGGAAGGUCCCCCACAUUGGAACUGAGACACGGUCCAAACUCCUACGGGAGGCAGCAGUGAGGGAUAUUGGUCAAUGGACGAGAGUCUGAACCAGCCAAGUAGCGUGCAGGAAGACGGCCCUAUGGGUUGUAAACUGCUUUUAUAAGGGAAUAAAGUGAGUCUCGUGAGACUUUUUGCAUGUACCUUAUGAAUAAGGACCGGCUAAUUCCGUGCCAGCAGCCGCGGUGAUACGGAAGGUCCGGGCGUUAUCCGGAUUUAUUGGGUUUAAAGGGAGCGUAGGCCGGAGAUUAAGCGUGUUGUGAAAUGUAGACGCUCAACGUCUGCACUGCAGCGCGAACUGGUUUCCUUGAGUACGCACAAAGUGGGCGGAAUUCGUGGUGUAGCGGUGAAAUGCUUAGAUAUCACGAAGAACUCCGAUUGCGAAGGCAGCUCACUGGAGCGCAACUGACGCUGAAGCUCGAAAGUGCGGGUAUCGAACAGGAUUAGAUACCCUGGUAGUCCGCACGGUAAACGAUGGAUGCCCGCUGUUGGUCUGAAUAGGUCAGCGGCCAAGCGAAAGCAUUAAGCAUCCCACCUGGGGAGUA